rnacentral:ncRNA from 1 species
AAUAAGUUUUAUUCUUGCUUAUUUUUAUUAAUUAUUUAUAUUAAUUAUAUGAAUAAUUUUUAAUUAAUUUUUAUCAGUAAUAAGUAUUUUUAUAUAUUAUUAUUAAUAUUAAGAUAUAUAAUUAUAAUGGAUAAAAAUUGUGCCAGCAUUCGCGGUUAUACAAUUUAUUUAAAUUAAUAUAUUAAAUUUUAAUUAAUAAAUUUUAUGAAAGUAUAUUAUUGGAGGUUAGGUGGAAUUUUCUUUAUUCUUAAUUUCUUCUUAAUUUUUAGUAAAUUAAUUUAUUAAACUAGGAUUAGAUACCCUAUUAUUUUUAAUAUAAUUAAUAAAAAUUUGAAUAUUAUUUGUUAUGUUCUUUUAAACUCAAAGAAUUUGGCGGUAAUUUAUUAUUUUAGAGGAAUUUGGUUUUUAAUUGAUAAACCACGAUAAAUUUUACUUAAUUAAGUUACUUGUAUAUCUCUAUAAUUUGGAAUGUUUCUAUAGUAUUAUUUUCUUUAAUUAUUUUAUUUUUAUAUUAGGUCAAGGUGCAGUUUAUUAUUAAGUGAAUUUGAAUUACUUUAAUUUUAAAUAUUUUGGUGAAUUUUAAUUAUUAUAAUUUUUAAAUAGAAUUUAAUAGUAAUUUUGAAUAAUUAUUCAAUUUGAAUUUUACACUAAGUUAUGUACAUAUUGCCCGUCACUCCCAUUAAGUUGGGAUAAGUCGUAACAAAGUAACCUAACUGGAAAGUUAGGUUAGAAGUUC